rnacentral:rRNA from 1 species
UGGGGAAUAUUGGACAAUGGGCGCAAGCCUGAUCCAGCCAUGCCGCGUGAGUGAAGAAGGCCUUAGGGUUGUAAAGCUCUUUCACCCGCGAAGAUGAUGACGGUAGCGGGUGCAGAAGCCCCGGCUAACUCCGUGCCAGCAGCCGCGGUAAUACCGAGGGGGCAAGCGUUGUUCGGAAUUACUGGGCGUAAAGGGCGCGUAGGCGGACUAUUAAGUGAGCGGUGAAAUCCCGGGGCUCAACCCCGGAACUGCCUUUGAUACUGGUAGUCUUGAGUUCGAGAGAGGUGAGUGGAAUUCCGAGUGUAGAGGUGAAAUUCGUAGAUAUUCGGAGGAACACCAGUGGCGAAGGCGGCUCACUGGCUCGAUACUGACGCUGAGGUGCGAAAGUGUGGGGAGCAAACAGGAUUAGAUACCCCUGUAGUCC